AUUGAACGCUGGCGGCAGGCUUAACACAUGCAAGUCGAGCGAGCGGCGGACGGGUGAGUAAUGUCUGGGAAACUGCCUGAUGGAGGGGGAUAACUACUGGAAACGGUAGCUAAUACCGCAUACCAUCAGAUGUGCCCAGAUGGGAUUAGCUAGUAGGUGGGGUAAUGGCUCACCUAGGCGACGAUCCCUAGCUGGUCUGAGAGGAUGACCAGCCAAACGGGAAAGUAGAACCGGGUCAGACUCCGACGGGAGGCAGGAGUGGGGAAUAUUGCACAAUGGGCGGAAGCCGGAUGCAGGCAUGCCGCGUGUGUGAAGAAGGCCUUCGGGUUGUAAAGCACUUUCAGCGAGGAGGCGUUACUCGCAGAAGAAGCACCGGCUAACUCCGUGCCAGCAGCCGCGGUAAUUC
rnacentral:rRNA from 1 species